UUUUUAGGUCAGUCAGUAGAGCAUGAGACUUUUAAUCUCAGGGUCGUGUGUUUGAGACCCACGUUGGGCAAAA